rnacentral:rRNA from 1 species
UACGUAGGGGGCGAGCGUUAUCCGGAAUUACUGGGCGUAAAGCGCACGCAGGCGGUUCGCCAAGUUUGGAGUGACAGUUGUCGGCUCAACCGACAAAGGACUUCAAAAACUGGUGAACUUGAGGACGAGAGAGGAACAUGGAACUCCAGGUGUAGUAGUGAAAUGCGUAGAUAUCUGGAAGAACACCAAUGGCGAAGGCAAUGUUCUGGCUCGUUUCUGACGUUCAGGUGCGAAAGCCAGGGGAGCGAACGGG